UACGUAGGGUGCAAGCGUUGUCCGGAAUUAUUGGGCGUAAAGAGCUCGUAGGUGGUGUGUCGCGUCGGCCGUGAAAACCUGCAGCUUAACUGUGGGCGUGCGGUCGAUACGGGCAUCACUGGAGUUCGGCAGGGGAGACUGGAAUUCCUGGUGUAGCGGUGAAAUGCGCAGAUAUCGGGAGGAACACCAGUGGCGAAGGCGGUUGCCUGGAGCUUUGCUGACGCUGAGGCGCGAAAGCGUGGGGAGCGAUCCGG
rnacentral:rRNA from 1 species